UACGGAGGGGGCGAGCGUUAUUCGGAAUUAUUGGGCGUAAAGGGCGCGUAGGCGGCUGUACAAGUCAAAGGUGAAAUCCCCGGGCUCAACCUGGGAAUUGCGGUCGAUACUGUCAGACUCGAAAACGGUAGAGGGAGGCGGAACUCCAGGUGUAGCGGUGAAAUGCGUAGAUAUCUGGAAGAACACCGAUGGCGAAGGCAACCUCCUGGGCCUGUUUUGACGCUGAGGCACGAAAGCUAGGGUAGCGAACGGG
rnacentral:rRNA from 1 species